GAUGAAGAACGUAGCGAAAUGCGAUACGUAGUGUGAAUUGCAGAAUUCAGUGAAUUAUCGAAUCUUUGAACGCACAUUGCACCUCUCGGUAUUCCGGGAGGUAUGCCUGUUCGAGCGUCAUUUGUACCCUCAAGCUCUGCUUGGUGUUGGGUGUUUGUUCCGCCUCUGUGUGUGAACUCGCCUCAAAACAAUUGGCAGCCGGCGUACUUGUUUCGGAGCGCAGCACAUUUUGCGAUCCAGAUCAACGUACAGCGGCAUCCAAGAAGCCUUAUUUAACGCUCUUGACCUCGGAUCAGGUAGGGAUACCCGCUGAACUUAAGCAUAUCAAUAAGCGGAGGA
rnacentral:misc_RNA from 1 species